rnacentral:rRNA from 1 species
GACGAACGCUGGCGGCGUACUUAACACAUGCAAGUCGAACGGAAAGGCCCUGCUUUUGUGGGGUGCUCGAGUGGCGAACGGGUGAGUAACACGUGAGUAACCUGCCCUUGACUUUGGGAUAACUUCAGGAAACUGGGGCUAAUACCGGAUAGGAGCUCCUGCUGCAUGGUGGGGGUUGGAAAGUUUCGGCGGUUGGGGAUGGACUCGCGGCUUAUCAGCUUGUUGGUGGGGUAGUGGCUUACCAAGGCUUUGACGGGUAGCCGGCCUGAGAGGGUGACCGGCCACAUUGGGACUGAGAUACGGCCCAGACUCCUACGGGAGGCAGCAGUGGGGAAUAUUGCACAAUGGGCGGAAGCCUGAUGCAGCAACGCCGCGUGCGGGAUGACGGCCUUCGGGUUGUAAACCGCUUUCGCCUGUGACGAAGCGUGAGUGACGGUAAUGGGUAAAGAAGCACCGGCUAACUACGUGCCAGCAGCCGCGGUGAUACGUAGGGUGCGAGCGUUGUCCGGAUUUAUUGGGCGUAAAGGGCUCGUAGGUGGUUGAUCGCGUCGGAAGUGUAAUCUUGGGGCUUAACCCUGAGCGUGCCUUCGAUACGGGUUGACUUGAGGAAGGUAGGGGAGAAUGGAAUUCCUGGUGGAGCGGUGGAAUGCGCAGAUAUCAGGAGGAACACCAGUGGCGAAGGCGGUUCUCUGGGCCUUUCCUGACGCUGAGGAGCGAAAGCGUGGGGAGCGAACAGGCUUAGAUACCCUGGUAGUCCACGCUGUAAACGGUGGGUACUAGGUGUGGGGUCCAUUCCACGGGUUCCGUGCCGUAGCUAACGCUUUAAGUACCCCGCCUGGGGAGUACGGCCGCAAGGCUAAAACUCAAAGGAAUUGACGGGGCCCCGCACAAGCGGCGGAGCAUGCGGAUUAAUUCGAUGCAACGCGUAGAACCUUACCUGGGUUUGACAUGGAUCGGGAGUGCUCAGAGAUGGGUGUGCCUCUUUUGGGGUCGGUUCACAGGUGGUGCAUGGCUGUCGUCAGCUCGUGUCGUGAGAUGUUGGGUUAAGUCCCGCAACGAGCGCAACCCUUGUUCACUGUUGCCAGCACGUUAUGGUGGGGACUCAGUGGAGACCGCCGGGGUCAACUCGGAGGAAGGUGGGGAUGACGUCAAGUCAUCAUGCCCCUUAUGUCCAGGGCUUCACGCAUGCUACAAUGGCUGGUACAGAGAGUGGCGAGCCUGUGAGGGUGAGCGAAUCUCGGAAAGCCGGUCUCAGUUCGGAUUGGGGUCUGCAACUCGACCUCAUGAAGUCGGAGUCGCUAGUAAUCGCAGAUCAGCAACGCUGCGGUGAAUACGUUCCCGGGGCU